rnacentral:rRNA from 1 species
CUCCAGACUCCUACGGGAGGCAGCAGUGGGGAAUAUUGCACAAUGGGGGAAACCCUGAUGCAGCGACGCCGCGUGAGUGAGGAAGUAUUUCGGUAUGUAAAGCUCUAUCAGCAGGGAAGAAAAUGACGGUACCUGACUAAGAAGCCCCGGCUAACUACGUGCCAGCAGCCGCGGUAAUACGUAGGGGGCAAGCGUUAUCCGGAUUUACUGGGUGUAAAGGGAGCGUAGACGGCUAAUCAAGUCAGAAGUGAAGACCCAGGGCUCAACCUUGGGACUGCUUUUGAAACUGAGUAGCUAGAGUGCAGGAGAGGUAAGCGGAAUUCCUAGUGUAGCGGUGAAAUGCGUAGAUAUUAGGAGGAACACCAGUGGCGAAGGCGGCUUACUGGACUGUAACUGACGUUGAGGCUCGAAAGCGUGGGGAGCAAACAGGAUUAGAUACCCGGGUAGA